UGGGGGUAAUUUUUCCGCAAUGGGCGAAAGCCUGACGGAGCAAUGCCGCGUGGAGGUGGAAGGCCUACGGGUCGUCAACUUCUUUUCUCGGAGAAGAAACAAUGACGGUAUCUGAGGAAUAAGCAUCGGCUAACUCUGCGCCAG
rnacentral:rRNA from 1 species